rnacentral:lncRNA from 1 species
UGAAGAACUAUAUUUUGCCUUCUUUCUGAAGGGCUGGAGUUUGUUACAUAAAACUCUAAUGUUUAUGUAAUCAAAUGUGUCAAUCUUUUCUGUAUAACUUCUGGGUUUUGUAUUAUCCUUUUUAAAGUCUUGCCCAUUCUAGAAUCAAAAAAAUAUGCAUCUAUGUCUUCUUAUAGGACGUCUGUGAUUUCAUGCUUUACAUGCAAAUCUCUGAUCCAUCUGGAACUUCUUUUGGUAUAAGAAGUAAGAUAAGGGCCUACUUUUACUUGUUUCCAUCCCAAAUGGCAAAGAGUAAACUCAAUUACCAUUUAUUGAAUAAUCUACCUUUUAAAAAAGUCCUUUAAAUAGCAACUUUCUCCAUAGAGAUUUUAAUAUGAUUCACUCUAUACAAGCUCUAUGUAUGCAUUUAUAAAAGUUCUAUUUGAACAUGAUGCCAGAAACAGCUAUAGGGUGGUGGGCAGUUGUUAAAAUGCCCCCUCCUCAGGUCAGUUUCCCUACCAUAAAAAAUUAAGGCAGCACUAUGUACCUUGCCGUGUUCUUGUGGGGAUUUUAAGAAUAAAGUAUGUAGAUACCUCUACCUCAAUUAUUGUGUUUCUUUCUGUUCAAUUUUCUGCAGUAAAGCAAUGUGGGCCCUCAUAUCAAGGAUCCCAUUUGGGUGUAAGACUCAGUUUCUCUAUUUACAUCCUGAGCAUAUAGAGAUGGCAAAGGAGGCCAUAGCUUUUUCAACAGUAACAUCUAACUGUUUCCCUCUCUGGUCAGUGCCUAAAGAGGUACUUUAUUUAAUCUUUUGAGGUGCCAAUCUUUGCCUUUUUGUUUCCCCAAAUAUUUCAGCAGGGCAUGUGGUGCUACAUAGAUCUGAGUUUGAAUUCCAGUUCUGCCGCUUACCAGAUAAGUGGCCCUUCUUGAGAAUAAUAUAAAGGGGAGAGGAGUAGCCCUCUUGUCAUGGGGUCAUGGUGGGAUAAAUAAGAAUCCUUGUGGAAUGCACCUUCCAUGGGGAGAAGAUCUUUGUCUUAUGAAUCACGAGUAUUAGAAUGCCUUGUUAUGCCCAGUGUUAGAAUGGUGCCUGAUGUGCCGUUGCCACUUAUUAAAGCAGUAUGGAAGGAAGGAAUUAGAGCACGUAGCAAGGUGCCAAAGUAAAUUAGCUAUAAGUGGAGGUCAGAGGGAACAGAAAUGUGGUUUGCCUUCAGGGGUUAGAAUCUGGAUCUGAAAACUAAGGUGUGUAGCCCUUACACAUGAGGCAUAAUGAAAUGCGUGGUAUCAUAUGAGCACAAAGUACUUUGGAGACAAGUGGGAAGUAAUGCAUUUCAACUGGAGAAUUAGGGAAAUACUUAAUGGAAAAGGGCGAGGCUUCAAUUGGACCUUAAAAGAGCAUUGUGUGUGUGUGUGUGUGUGUGUGUGUUUGAGAGACAUGAUUUUCCAGGCUGGAGGAAGGAAUACAAAAUGGGAGAAGUGUUUGGCAUAUGCUAGGAUCAGAGCUUAGUGUGAAUUAUGAAAGUGCAUGUCAGGUAGGAGAAAGAGUGUCUGGCAGGUCAAUCAUGGUGGCCUGGAGUGUCCUGCAAUGGGGUUUAAGACAGUGCACAAAUCUGAAGGCUUUUGAGUUGCUGAGUCCUAGGAGAGGCUCGUGUUAUUAUUAUGUUUUCAUUAUCUGUAUUCAUUAUUCAGAAAUCAGGGCAAAGGAUGAACUAGAAGGGGUAAGAAUUUAAUAGCUAGAGGAGGAAGAGACAAAAAGGGAGAGGAGUUUAGGAGUUCCUGUUGUGGCUCAGUGGGGUAUGGACCCCAUGUUGUCUCUGUGAGGAUGCGGGUUCCAUCUCUGGCCUCCCUCACUGGGUUAAGGAUCCAGCAUUGUGACAAGCUGUGGUGUAGGCUGCAGUGGCAGCUCUGAUUCAACCCUGGCCUGGGAACUUCCACAUGCUGCAAGUGUGGUC